AAUUUUCCUCAAGAUACACACACACACACACAAAUUCUGCACAUGUACAAAAUCCUGCAUAUAUCUCAUCGUACAAUCAGAUAUCUUACAUGAUCCACAGCUGUAAAGGUGCUUUGGAGAAGCUUCACAGCUAUCUAACUCAUUAUUGAAGUCCUUCACUCGUCUCUCCUAUCAUCUGCCCAAGUUCCUCACUUCCGUGUUCUCUCAAAUAAACAGAGGAGGAGUCCAGCAGCAAUUGAACUCGAUUUCCACCUCCAACCCAGCCCUUUUAUUCCUUCUAUCUCCAAUGGCAAACCAACUCAAAUACCUCCUGAUCACCACCGAUUCCAGUUGAAACAAACCCCUAAUCAUAAACACGCAUGUAGCAGCUUACCAGAGAAGAAGAAGCAGCAUGCCUUCAUUGGUUAGACACUCAAACUGCUCCUACUCACCUUGUCCCUGCUUCUCCAUAAAUCUCAGGUUGACUCCAAGAUUCCCAUUCCAAAUCCCGCUUAGAACGAGAGCUUCCUGACACUUCCGACUCUCAAAACCAAUGAAAUUAAGGCAAGAAAUUCACGCGAGGAGUAUGGAAUCAUCGUCUUAUAUUUUUGUUCUAAAUUAAGUUUUAUGUCCUCUUUUUGAAUCGUUGAAGAUUUGUCAUGAAACAUGUAACAAAGUAAGAUAUAAUUAUGUCGUAUGUGAUGUAAAACUUUAAGUGGUUGUUUAAUGUUUGAUAUAUGCUAUGUUUGUGAUAUUCGAUUUUCGUCACUCACCCGGUGAUUCCGCCGUUGGCUGGGGGUGUGACACCCGGAUUCCCAGAAGAAGAUCAAGGCAAGAGGAGACCAAAGAAGGUGCUAAUCCAGUGAUUCCUGAGCUCAGAUACUUCAUUUAAGGAGGACUAUAGAUCGGGGGAUCGAGCACGAGUGAUUUCAGGGAUUUGCGAGUUACUGAGAUACGCGAGGUACUAGUGAUGACCGUGGGAAGGCGCCGGCUUGAUCAGUACACACAUGAGAUUUUCAUGUUAUGUGAUCUUGGGAUUCUUUAUAUGUCAUGGAUUGGAGUUUCAAACAUUGAUGUUUUUAUGAAAAUUAAAUGAAUAUGUUUUUAUAUUAUGCGAAAAAUUAUUUUGAAAUUUACGGUGUUACAAAGAACCCUUUCUAUGUAAGUCAAAUGUAUAGUAUAAUAUAGCUAUGUUUAUCUUGCUUUGUUUUGUA